GAAUGUAUUCCUCUGUUAUAUGGGCAGGCUCCCAACUUUAACCAACAAAUCACCAUUCUAUUUUUCAGGGGGGGGCUCCUGAUUACUUAAAAUUUGAAUUGUAUUCCCUUAUUCUCCAGGUGGGCUCCUGAUUGCUGAUACUUCCAUUGUAUUCCCUUAUUCUCCAGGUGGGCUCCUGAUUGCUGAUACUUCAACUGUUCUUCUUUGUUCUCCAGGUGGACGCCUGAUUGCUGGGGAUAAUACUACUAGGGAAGUCUCCCUUCUUCCCCUCCUUCAAAUUCAAUUUUUUUUCUUUUUUUUUCCUUUUUUUAACACUGCUGGGGAUAAAAGUGUUAUCUUCUCGGGAUAACGUUGUUGAGGAUAACGCUACUGGGGAAUUUUAUCCCUUCAAGUCGAUGCUUCAUUCUUCUGGAAGCUGCUGGGGAUGAUAAUGGCUUUUUGCUUUUCUGAGCACAAGUGUCAUCCCUUUAUUCUGUCUGCUGGGGAAUACUUCCUCCAUUUAAACUUAUUAUGUUGGGGCAACACUGGUUCAAAUACCACUUCCCUUGAGACUGAUGCUAUCUUUAUUCUUCCUCGAAUGGGUACUUGACUUCCAGAAAAUUUUCCAAAUGAAAGGAAAAUUUUCUGCCCCAGUUUGACAUUCUCCCUUAUGGCAUGCAUUUCUGUCAUCAAUGCCAUUUCCUUUACCUGUUUCAAAUCAAACAAAAUUUGUUAGUUUAAAACGUGGUGGUUGGUUGUGAUACUCCUACUGGGAUGGCUUUUCCUUUUCUCCUUCCUUGCUCUGCGCUCUACAACUUGUUGGGGAUGAUAUUAUUUGCUGGGGAUAAUCCCUUUCUGCUGGGGAUAUCCCUCUUUUUUUGUGGCAUAGCUCGGAAACUGGCAUUUCCCCGACCUUUUAGUCUAGUAUGAAUUUCCCCAAAUCAUGCUCACUGCUCUCCUUGCUUUGUUCAACGGGCCUUGGCCUUGAGGUUUAUAACCUUUGAUU
rnacentral:lncRNA from 1 species